rnacentral:rRNA from 1 species
UUUAUAUGAGAGUUUGAUCCUGGCUCAGGAUGAACGCUGGCGGCGUGCCUAAUACAUGCAAGUCGAACGAGUUCUCGUUGAUGAUCGGUGCUUGCACCGAGAUUCAACAUGGAACGAGUGGCGGACGGGUGAGUAACACGUGGGUAACCUGCCCUUAAGUGG